rnacentral:rRNA from 1 species
UACAGAGGUGGCAAGCGUUGUUCGGAAUUACUGGGCGUAAAGGGCUUGUAGGUGGCCAACUAAGUCAGACGUGAAAUCCCUCGGCUUAACCGGGGAACUGCGUCUGAUACUGGAUGGCUGGAGUGUGGGAGAGGGAUGCGGAAUUCCAGGUGUAGCGGUGAAAUGCGUAGAUAUCUGGAGGAACACCGGUGGCGAAGGCGGCAUCCUGGACCAUUACUGACACUGAAAAGCGAAAGCCAGGGGAGCAAACGGG